rnacentral:rRNA from 1 species
GAUGAACGCUGGCGGCGUGCCUAAUACAUGCAAGUCGAGCGAACAGACGAGGAGCUUGCUCCUCUGACGUUAGCGGCGGACGGGUGAGUAACACGUGGAUAACCUACCCAUAAGACUGGGAUAACUUCGGGAAACCGGAGCUAAUACCGGAUAAUAUAUUGAACCGCAUGGUUCAAUAGUGAAAGACGGUUUUGCUGUCACUUAUAGAUGGAUCCGUGCCGCAUUAGCUAGUUGGUAAGGUAACGGCUUACCAAGGCAACGAUGCGUAGCCGACCUGAGAGGGUGAUCGGCCACACUGGAACUGAGACACGGUCCAGACUCCUACGGGAGGCAGCAGUAGGGAAUCUUCCGCAAUGGGCGAAAGCCUGACGGAGCAACGCCGCGUGAGUGAUGAAGGUCUUCGGAUCGUAAAACUCUGUUAUUAGGGAAGAACAAAUGUGUAAGUAACUAUGCACGUCUUGACGGUACCUAAUCAGAAAGCCACGGCUAACUACGUG